UACGUAGGGUGCGAGCGUCGUCCGGAAUUAUUGGGCGUAAAGGGCUCGUAGGCGGUCUGUCGCGUCAGGAGUGAAAACUCGGGGCUUAACCCCGAGCCUGCUUCUGAUACGGGCAGACUAGAGGUAUGCAGGGGAGAACGGAAUUCCUGGUGUAGCGGUGAAAUGCGCAGAUAUCAGGAGGAACACCGGUGGCGAAGGCGGUUCUCUGGGCAUUACCUGACGCUGAGGAGCGAAAGUGUGGGGAGCGAACAGG
rnacentral:rRNA from 1 species